rnacentral:misc_RNA from 1 species
UUAAAUUUAUUCAUUCUUAAUGAAGAAGAGACAUAAAUAUUGCUAUUAAAUAACUUAGUUCCAAUACAACCUUGUUAUAAUAACGAACAAAAUGCGUUACUACAUUUCUGGACUUUGGUGGAAACCCAUAUCAUAUUUAUUGGAAAUUAUCAUAUAUAUACAACAAAAAAUGAAUAAAAAAGAGAAUUCAAAACUAGGAAAAGAAAAAGAUAAAGAAUGAGAGAAGUGUUCUCUGUGGUAACAGAACUACAACACUCAUCUUGCACAAAUCUUCCGUCCCCAAUGAAUGAUUUUUAAGAGGGAAAGAAAAAGAAUGAUUACUUUCCUGAACAAAACUUUAACUCGAAUCAAUGUCCCUGCCACCAGCAACAACUUUGCGAUGACGCCUAGAGCCAGACUUCCUUCCUCGCCUUGCUCUUCGAACCGGAAUACUUGCAACCCUUUCGGCUGAAGUUUCAAGUGCUGUCUUUGGUGGUUCAUACGCCAAAACAAGGGGCGGCGGCGGUGGAUAUACAGUAGGAGGCAGAGGAGUCAUGUGCCCUAAAACAUCUCUAUGGUACUUCUGAACCACAAAGUUGCGUCUUUCACAGUCCAAGAACAUGUUCACAGUCCAGUUUGUUUUAGCCUGAAUCUUAUCCCUUACUGUCGAAAAGCUGAUUUGGUCCCUCGAAGUAAAGCGGUCAACUUCAUUGAACCAAAGACAUGUAAAGAGGUUGCUAAUAGGAACAUGCUCCCUUAUUAUAACACAUCCUUCAGGAACAUCACUUAUAAUAGGAAGCUUGGCCUCAGAAUAUGAUGUCAAACCCUCCUUUUUAUAAAAAUCAAUCUGAAAGUCAAUGGAGGCAUUGUCAUACUUCCCAGCUGCUUUAUUUGCCUCAGCUUCCACAAAAACAUCAAAACGCUUGUAAUGUCUAGAUAUUGCAAGAGUGGCAUUUUUUCUCCACAAGUGCCUUUCAAGAAUUUGAUAUGGAUCCACAACUAGUUCAAGCUUCCCAUCAAUCCAUAAAGAAAAGCGGGCAUUUGGAAACAUCCUAUGUGCUAGAAGCUUUGGAACCUUUCCGUUGCGUCUUCCAUCUUUGUAAGGAAGAUUAUGAACGACAACAAUUCUCCAUAUCCCAAUCUUCCUGCUGCUGUCUAGACCAUUUUUCUUCCUCAAAUAUGCUUCUGUUUCUUCAUCAACAAACAUGAAGAAGCAUACAGUCCUCUUAGAGUAUUCACUAAUAUUACUUGGCUGUUGGAUGUUGUCAAAGGCUCCUGAAAGAAGAGAAGAUUAUCUUAUAAGCUAUGAAUCAGCUCAGGCAGAGGACAUGAUUAGUUGAAAUCCCAUUAUGCAGAGGAAUACCAAAUAUUGCUGAAGCAACAACAACCCCAUGGCACUGCUCCAUUGCAGCCAGGUCAAUUUCAUCCAUGUCAAAUCCUGUAUUGCGGCCAGGUUUUUUCCCUCUGACAAAUCUGAUUAAUUCACAUACACACCAACCAAAAACGCACAAUGAACAGAUAUGAGUCAACAACCAGGGUAAGAUCUCAAAGAAUAUAUUAUUAGCAUUAUUAUUCUAAAAGAUGUAAAAUGGAUCUGGCAAAAUUCUGAAGAAAGUAAACUCAAGUACUUUUAAAUAUGCAUAGACGAAUCAAAAGGGAGAAAGAGAGCAUACCCACAAUGCAUACUCAUCGACUCUCUAAUAUCAUAAGAUUCACUUCUCUGCUUUAGAGUAGGGUACCCACCAAAUUCUGAGCCUCCAAAUUCUCCAUCUCUACUUAGUGGAUCCUCAUAUAGAUAUGUCAAGUUAUUAACUAUAGGAGAAAAUGAGGGGAACUUUGGCAUCAAAGCAAUUGCUUCUUCCACAGGAAGGUAACACACAGCACAUGCUGAAAUGUAAUUACCAAGGGAUCUCAGAAAAAUCAAUGGGAUAAUGUUAUUCACAUGCUAAAUGGAAACACAUUAUCCCUGCUAGCUUUAAGUAUCUACAUAUCAAUAACACAAAGUGGAGUGUCGAGCAGCAUCGACUAUUAAACCCCAAACAGAAAGGGAGAAAACAAAUAAAAAAAGUCGAGAAAACAUAGAGAGGGUGAAAGAGAACUUACGCCUUGGUCCAGUUCUUUUUUUAUCAGCUGGUGGGGGAGGUAAGGUGAAGCUAUUACAUGGAUGCCCUGGAGGAAGAGUGUAGCCUGUAAAAUAGUUACGAGGAGGAGGAGGAGGGGGAGGGGGUGGCAAAGCGAACUCUUCAAAUGUAUGAGUAUCAUUCUCUGGAUUGCUAAAGGGCUCGGUGCUAUUAAGGCUAAAGUUUGGAACCUGAUCACCUUCCUGUGAAUCUUCACCUUUUCCUACAUACAAAACCCAGACGAAAACGGCAGCGGAGAUGAUACAGAGGAACAGCAUUCCAACCUUUUUGCGGCCCGCGAACUUGCAGAUCCAAUGAAAGAGUCUCUCCUUGUCCUUGAGCAUCUUGGCAGGUUUCGUCCGGCUAGUCGUUUGGAUAGGCAAGUGAACACCACCACCGUUCUGCUGAUGUUGCUGAAAAUGCUUCUCCAAUGAUCCAUAACUUCCAGAGCGAAUCCCCAAUGACCCUCCAGUCAUUGUCUCUCCUUAAACCUCACACUAAACAAUGCCCCUCUCAUCUCAUCUCCUUCUCACAAAACAAUCGCAGUGGUUCUUCGAUAUUACUAUCAAACAGUAUUACGAAUCCACCAAGUAAUAAUGGGUUAUAAGAGACAAAUGAUGAAGACCCAAUUCGCCAAAUUGGCAAAGCACUCGUUUUCGUGGAUAAACUGUCGAAAUGAUAAUCCAAAAUCACCCACCAAAAAAGGGGCAAAAGAGGGAAAUAGUUCAGACCCAGUUCACCAAAUUGGCCCCAAACUACUGGGGCAUCCUUAGUUUUCAGUGAAAUCAAAGCUCUGGGCAACCAAAUUGAACUCAACCAUCCCAGAAACAGAAAACAAAAGUGGGCAAUAAACAAAGCAAAAUCAGCACAAUCUCUUUUCAAAAAACAAGUGACAAUUUAGUGUAGGAGCCGAAAUUCGAAUCUAUAAACUCACAGAUCAAAAUGAGUAUUAAAAAAUAAAAAAGUUAAACAGACCAAAAAAAAACGAAUUUUGAAGAGAAUAAAUCUAGGGUUUGUGAUUGGCG